AUUAAAACGUGGUAGGGAGGGUGGGUAACUCCUUAAGGAACAAUGAUUCUCCUUCGGUUUCUGCCUCACCUUUGACAUUUGCCUAUCGCUCUCCCCGUUCAUAGUUUCUCCGGCUUCCCCCCACCCUUAGCUUUUAGGAGAUCCUGUUCUCUGCCUCACCUUUGACAUUUGCCUCCUUUAGCAGAUAAAGAAACUGCAAUGCCUUUGUUUCGCACCCGGUCGGAAUCUUUUCGCUUAGUGCUGAUGGUACUGUUCCAAGUUCUCGUGGCCAUGGUGUUUGUUUCAGCCGAUAGAAGCCUCCGACUUGAGUCUAUGGGACUCGGUGGGAUGGAAAAACCGGAGAGCAAUUACUUUCUCCGAGCAGUGGAUUACUUAUGGAAGCUGAAUCAAUCUAGUUAUCAGCAUGUCUGGCCGGAGAUGAGUUUUGGGUGGCGGAUCGUCGUCGGUACUGUGAUUGGAAUCUUUGGAGCGGCUUUCGGGAGUGUUGGUGGCGUUGGCGGUGGCGGCAUCUUUGUUCCCAUGCUCAGCUUGGUCAUCGGGUUCGACCCUAAAUCAUCAACCGCCAUAUCAAAGUGCAUGAUCAUGGGCGCGGCGAUCUCGACUGUCGUGUACAACCUCAAGCUGAGGCAUCCUACCCUUGACAUUCCUCUAAUUGACUACGAUCUAGUGUUGCUCAUCCAGCCGAUGCUUAUGCUCGGCAUUAGCAUAGGUGUUGUAUUCAACCUCAUAUUCGCCGACUGGAUGGUUACGAUCUUGAUCAUUCUCUUGUCAUUGGGCACCUCAACCAAAGCAUUCUUCAAAGCCUUAGAAACCUGGAGGAGGGAAACCGUUUUGAAAGAGGAGGCAGCUAAACGUUUGGAGUCGAGCGCUGAAGACGAUAGCAAUGCCCAACUGGAACAAAGGCUUCUUCCCCAACCGGCGAGCAGCACCAAGAAGACGCAGGUCUCGCUACUUGAGAACAUUCGCUGGAAGGAGGUUGCGCUUAUUACUUUUGUUUGGGUCGCGUAUCUCAUUCUGCAAAUUUCCAUGAACCAAACAGCAACCUGUUCAACAGCAUACUGGGUUUUGAACUUUUUACAGGUGCCAGUUUCAAUUGGCGUGUUUGCAUACGAGGCGAUCAGCUUGUACAAGGGAUGGAGGUGAUUGCAUCGAAGGGAGAAAGGGUAAGAGGUGGCAAGUGCGCGAGCUCUUGGCAUAUUGCGGCUGUGGCGUUUUGGCUGGAAUAAUUGGCGGACUGCUAGGAAUCGGUGGAGGAUUUGUCAUGGGUCCUCUAUUUCUGGAGCUCGGCAUCCCUCCUGAGGUCUCGAGCGCCACUGCCACAUUCGGAAUGACCUACUCCUCGUCCAUGUCUGUGGUCGAGUACUAUCUGCUGAAACGUUUUCCGGUUCCCUACGCCUUGUACUUCAUUCUCGUGGCAACUGUUGCUGCCUUUGUCGGGCAACACAUCGUGAGGAAGCUGAUAAUCAUAACCGGAAGGGCGUCGAUCAUCAUCUUCAUCCUGUCCUUCACGAUAUUCGUCAGUGCCAUCUUGCUAGGCGGCGUCGGAUUAUCCAACAUGAUCGGAAAGAUCGAGCGCCAUGAAUACAUGGGAUUCGACAACCUGUGCAACUUCGGCGAAUAGUCUGGCUUGCCUUUUCUGGGAAAUAUGUGUUUGUGUGUAUGGUAUUUGCUAAGCUAGGAAGUAUGAAUUGUUUCAUUUUGAGAUCAGCUUUCUGAACACAUGCAGGAUUUCUCUUCUCUAUAUAUUAGAAUUGAGAUGCUUGGAAGAAAACUUCGGUAGUCCUUUACCUCUUAAUGAAAGAUUCGAGGGUACCCAUUACUAUUA